rnacentral:rRNA from 1 species
AGCGAACGUUUGCGGCGGGCCUAACACAUGCAAGUCGAACGCACUAGCAAUAGUGAGUGGCGCACGGGUGCGUAACACGUGGGUAAUCAACCCUUCAGCCUGGGAUAACGACUCGAAAGGGUCGCUAAUACCGGAUACGGCGCGAGAGGCUUCGGCUUCUCACGAGAAAGCCACGCAAGGGGCACUGAAGGACGAGCCUGCGGCCCAUCAGCUAGUUGGUGAGGUAAGAGCUCACCAAGGCUAAGACGGGUAGCUGGUCUGAGAGGAUGAUCAGCCACACUGGAACUGAGACACGGUCCAGACUCCUACGGGAGGCAGCAGUGGGGAAUAUUGGACAAUGGGCGAAAGCCUGAUCCAGCAAUGCCGCGUGAGUGAUGAAGGCCUUAGGGUUGUAAAGCUCUUUUACCAGGGAUGAUAAUGACAGUACCUGGAGAAUAAGCUCCGGCUAACUCCGUGCCAGCAGCCGCGGUAAAGUACAGUGU